AAGCAUGCAAACUAACUAAUCCCUUUUUCUUUUCUUUUUUUUAGUAGGCAGGCCAAUUAAUUGGUUUGAGGCAAAGGUGGUGUUGGGUAUGAGGGAUAGAAACUCAAAGGAGCAUGAUCAUCCAAAAAAGGAUCUUCGCACAAGGAACAUAACCCCAAUUUAAAACAACAUUAUGCCAAGAGGUGUUUAAACAAUCAUCUAAAUAUCGCUAACCUCUAAUUCCGGUUCUGCAUGCCAAGCUGUUUUGGAAGAUGAUGAGCAGAAACUGGUUCAAUGAGAGAAGAAUAGUGUUUGGCCUCGGAGAAAGAGGAUGACUUAUUGAGAAAGUUCAUGAAAGGGUAGAGAAUCAGACAUUAGUUAAGAA